rnacentral:rRNA from 1 species
UACAGAGGUCUCAAGCGUUGUUCGGAUUCAGUUGGGCGUAAAGGGUGCGUAGGUGGCGUCGUAAGUCGGGUGUGAAAUUUCGGAGCUUAACUCCGAAACUGCAUUCGAUACUGCGGUGCUUGAGGACUGGAGAGGAGUACUGGAAUUUACGGUGUAGCAGUGAAAUGCGUAGAGAUCGUAAGGAAGACCAGUGGCGAAGGCGGGUCUCUGGACAGUUCCGAUGACAGCUGAGGCACGAAGGCCCAGGGGAGCAAACGGG